AAUUUGAUCGAGGAGUUCACGGAGUCUCUUUUGAGAAUCUGUCAGUCAGAAUAACACAAUUGCAAUUUCGAAUCGAAUAGUAAGGCUCAGGCAAAAUGGCUGGUUCUCUGUGAACGAGUACAUCAGGCUUUAGCUACGGCUUAUGGAAGCCGAGAGAAGAGCGUCGUGACAAAUCCUGAGAAUCUAACUGCUCUCCGUGAAGGCAAUGGAUGAAUCGUCUCUCGGCAGGCGGCUGUUUCCAGAACAAACCAACCUCUCCCGGUCUGCACAGAGUCAGGUUCCAGAGGAGUAGAAGCUAAGCCUUCACAUGAAGCCCCAGCUAAAGAUGAGAAGAAACUUCUCUGAGGAAUCUGGGCAGCCCAAGAGGAAGGGAGACUGACAUUGCAAUUCCCCACUGAAAAGGCCUCAAUAUCAGUGGAACAGAAUAGAAAACCCAGAAAUAAACCCAUGACUAUAUGGUCAAUUAAUUCUUGGCAAAGCAAGAAAGAAUAUUCAAUGGC